rnacentral:rRNA from 1 species
GAUGAACGCUGGCGGCGUGCCUAAUACAUGCAAGUCGAGCGAAUGGAUUAAGAGCUUGCUCUUAUGAAGUUAGCGGCGGACGGGUGAGUAACACGUGGGUAACCUGCCCAUAAGACUGGGAUAACUCCGGGAAACCGGGGCUAACACCGGAUAACAUUUUGAACCGCAUGGUUCGAAAUUGAAAGGCGGCUUCGGCUGUCACUUAUGGAUGGACCCGCGUCGCAUUAGCUAGUUGGUGAGGUAACGGCUCACCAAGGCAACGAUGCGUAGCCGACCUGAGAGGGUGAUCGGCAACACUGGGACUGAGACACGGCCCAGACUCCUACGGGAGGCAGCAGUAGGGAAUCUUCCGCAAUGGACGAAAGUCUGACGGAGCAACGCCGCGUGAGUGAUGAAGGCUUUCGGGUCGUAAAACUUUGUUGUUAGGGAAGAACAAGUGCUAGUUGAAUAAGCUGGCACCUUGACGGUACCUAACCAGGAAGCCACGGCUAACUACGUGCCAGCCGCCGCCGUAA